GUUUGGUGAAAAGGCAAUAUGGUUGGACAGAAGGAUUUAUCCAUGUUGAUAGGUUAUGUGGCCAGCCUCAGAUCGGCUAGAUUGUGCCAAUGGAUGAGGUGCCACUACACUGCUGCUGCUGAUGGAUUAGUGCAACAUAUACUUACAAGUUUCAGUUUCCUC